AGUGAACGCUGGCGGUAGGCCUAACACAUGCAAGUCGAACGGCAGCACAGUAAGAGCUUGCUCUUACGGGUGGCGAGUGGCGGACGGGUGAGGAAUACAUCGGAAUCUACUUUUUCGUGGGGGAUAACGUAGGGAAACUUACGCUAAUACCGCAUACGACCUACGGGUGAAAGCAGGGGAUCUUCGGACCUUGCGCGAUUGAAUGAGCCGAUGUCGGAUUAGCUAGUUGGCGGGGUAAAGGCCCACCAAGGCGACGAUCCGUAGCUGGUCUGAGAGGAUGGUCAGCGACACUGGAACUGAGACACGGUCCAGACUCCUACGGGAGGCAGCAGUGGGGAAUAGUGGACAAUGGGCGCAAGCCUGAUCCAGCCAUACCGCGUGGGUGAAGAAGGCCUUCGGGUUGUAAAGCCCUUUUGUUGGGAAAGAAAAGCAGCAGGUUAAUACCCCGCUGUUCUGACGGUACCCAAAGAAUAAGCACCGGCUAACUUCGUG
rnacentral:rRNA from 1 species